AUCCCAUCCAGUGAGCCUGCCCCCUGAGUCCCGCAGCCACAGCGGUGUGGACGGCAUCCUGCCUGUGCCGUCCGAGGCCGAGGAGACAGCGUCUGUGGGCAGCUGCUUCGCCUCGGAGGACACGACGGAGGACUCGGGGGUGAUCAGCUCCCCGUCCGACAUCAUCUCUCUGGACUCCCAGCACGACAGCUUGAAGUCCAAAGAUAAGUGGGCCACAGACCAGGAAGACUGCAGUGACCAGGACCUGGCUGGAACCCCAGAACCAGGGCACCAGAAGAGCCCCUCGUGGGAGGGAUCUGGCCCUGCAAAGUUGUGUCUGAGGCUGGUCUCAAAAUCACUGCAAUCCUCCUGCCUCAGCCUCCCUGAUGCUGAGACUGUAGGCUGGUGCCACCACGCCCCACAAGAAACCCUUCAGCUACAAAACCCAGCAGGACCUGAUGUGCAUGGCAUGUAGCCCCAGCAUGUUUCAGACAGGUCAGCAUCGUACUAUUCCCACUUUUCUUUCCCAUGGCAAAUGAACACAAAAAAG
rnacentral:lncRNA from 1 species